rnacentral:tRNA from 1 species
UAGAAUGUAGUGUACAGGUAGCACGGGGAAUUUUGAGUUCUCUAGGUUAGGUUCGAUUCCUAUUAUUCUAG